rnacentral:rRNA from 1 species
AUGUCGCGCAUCUCCUUGCUCCUGCUCCUGCACCUCCUCCUCCUCAUCUUACCACCCGCCACCUCCGUCACGCCACAGUCGCCGACGGCCGUCCUCCUCUCCUUCCUCGCCUCCCUGCCCGAGGCCUCCCAGCGGAUCCUCCUGCCGUCGUGGCAGAGCAGCACCAAUACCAGCGCCAACGGCAGCUCGGCCACCACCCAGCACUGCGCGUUCCGUGGCGUCACGUGCACCGCCGCGGGCGCGGUCACCGCGCUGAACCUCUCCGGGCUGGGCCUGGCGGGCGCGCUCGCGGCGUCAGCGCCGCGCCUCUGCGCGCUCCCGACGGCCCUCUCCUCGCUCGACCUCAGCGGGAACGUCUUCGCCGGACCCGUCCCGGCCGCGCUCGCCGCGUGCUCCGGCGUCGCCACCGUCCUCCUGGCCCGCAACCGCCUCACGGGACCCGUGCCCGCGGAGCUGCUCUCCUCGCGCCAGCUCCGGAAGCUGGACCUCGGCGGCAACGCGCUCACCGGAGAGAUCCCGACUGUGCCUGCCACCGGUGCGUCCGUCCUCGAGCACCUGGACCUCAGCAACAACUCCCUCUCGGGCGCCAUCCCGCCGGAGCUGCUGGCCGCGCUCCCGGGCAUCAGGGUGCUGAACCUCAGCACCAACGCGCUCUCGGGACCGUUGCCCGAGUUCCCGGCCCACUGCCGGCUCACCUACCUCGCCGUCGACGGCAACGGCGGCAUCACCGGGGAGCUCCCCCGGAGCCUCGCCAACUGCGGCAACCUCACCGACAUGAUCCUAUCCUACAACAAGAUCGGCGGCACGGUGCCGGAUUUCUUCGCGUCCCUGCCAAGGCUGCAGCAGCUGUUCCUCGACGACAACAGCUUCGUCGGGGAGCUGCCGGCGAGCAUCGGCGAGCUCGCCGACCUGGAGAGCCUGGCGGUGUCGAAAAACGGCAUGACCGGACCUGUUCCGGAGACCAUCGGGAGAUGCAAGUCCUUGACGAUGCUCUAUCUGAACGGCAACCGGUUCAACGGCUCGAUCCCGCGGUUCGUCGGGAACCUGAGCAGGCUCCAGAGGUUCUCCAUGGCGGACAACGGCAUCGCCGGAACGAUCCCACGAGAAAUCGGGAAAUGCCGGGAGCUGGUGGAGCUCCAGCUGCAGAACAACAGCCUCUCCGGGACGAUCCCGCCGGAGUUCGGCGAGCUCGGCCGCCUGCGGAAGCUGGCCCUGUUCAAGAACACGCUCCACGGGACGGUACCUCCGGCGUUGUGGCAAAUGCCGGGCAUGGAGGAGCUGCAGCUCUACAACAACAGCCUGAGCGGAGAGGUCCCUGCCAGGAUCACUCAGUCGAGGAAGCUGAGAGAGCUCAUCCUGGCAUUCAACAACUUCACCGGCGAGGUCCCCGGAGCGCUGGGGCUGGACACGACCCAUGGGCUCGUUCGUGUCGACCUGACCGGCAACCGCUUCCACGGCGCGAUUCCGCCGGGUCUCUGCACCGGCGGCCGGCUCGCCGUGCUUGUCGUUGGACACAACCAGUUCAGUGGGGGAAUUCCCGGGGAGAUAGCUGAAUGUCAGUCCCUCUGGAGGGUCAGGCUCAACGACAACCGGUUCAGUGGUAGCUUGUUACUGCCUGAAGAUAUGGGCACGAACACAGGGUGGUCAUUUGUGGACCUAAGUGGCAACCGUUUUGAUGGGAGGAUACCGAGUGUGCUCGGCUCAUGGCGCAACCUCACCAUGCUUGAUCUGUCCGGCAACAGCUUCUCCGGCCCGAUACCGCACGAGCUCGGAGCUCUAAGCAUGAUCGGGACUCUGCGAUUGUCGUCGAACCGGCUCACCGGACCGAUACCGCGACAGUUUAAGAACUGCAAGAGGCUCUUCCGUUUGGACCUUGGUGGUAACCUUCUGAAUGGAAGCAUACCUGCAGAGGUUGCAACACUUGAUAGCCUGCAAUAUCUUCUGCUCAAUGGGAACAAGCUCACCGGAACAAUUCCGGACUCCUUCACUGCAACACAGGGCCUACUUGAGCUGGACCUUGGUGGCAACUCUUUGGAAGGUGCCAUCCCUCCUAGCUUAGGCAACCUUCAGUACAUUUCCAGGAAUCUGAACCUUAGCAACAACAGACUGAGUGGCCAGAUCCCAAGUAGCCUUGGCAACCUUCGGAGCCUGGAGGUGCUCGACUUGUCGGCGAACUCGUUGUCCGGUCCGAUUCCAUGGCAGCUUUCCAACAUGAUCUCACUCUCUGCAGUGAAUGUUUCUUUCAACGAGCUCUCUGGCCAGCUCCCUGCUGGCAACUGGGCUAAGCUCGCCGAAGAGUCCCCCGACGCUUUUCGCGGGAACGCGCAUUUGUGCAUACAUCCUGGCAAUGCACCUUGCUCAAGAGAUCAGUCUCGGAAAACCCGAAGGAGGAACACACAAGUUAUCGUGGCAUUGUUGCUGUCAACAUUCACAGUCAUGGUUGCUGCAUUGUGUGCUAUCCACUACAUUGUGAAGAGGUCGAAGCACCUAUCGGCGAAAAAUGGCUCGGUACGCAACUUGGACUCAACAGAGGAGCUGCCAGAGGAUCUGACCUAUGAAGACAUCCUCCGGGCCACCGACAACCUGAGCGAGAAGUACGUCAUCGGCAAAGGCCGGCACGGCACGGUAUACAAGACGCAGUUUGCGGUCGGAAAACAGUGGGCGGUCAAGACGGUCGAUCUGUCACGGUGCGGAUUCCCCAUUGAGAUGAAGAUACUCAACACGGUGAGGCACCGCAACAUCGUCAGGAUGGCGGGGUACUGCAUUCGACGCAAUGUCGGCAUGAUACUCUACGAGUACAUGCCGGAGGGGACGCUUUUCGAGUUGCUGCAUGAGAGGACGCCCCAGGUGGCUCUGGACUGGACGGCCCGGCAUCUCAUCGCCCUCGGCGCCGCCGAAGGCCUCUCCUACCUUCACCAUGACUGUCUGCCCAUGAUUGUCCACAGGGAUGUCAAGUCGAGCAACAUUUUGAUGGAUGCCGAGUUGGUGCCCAAGAUUACGGACUUUGGGAUGGGGAAAAUCGUCGGCGAUGAGGAUGCGGAUGCGACGGUGUCGGUCGUCGUUGGCACCCUCGGCUACAUUGCUCCAGAGCAAGGCUACUCGACAAGGCUGACCGAGAAGAGCGACGUGUACAGCUACGGGGUGGUGCUUCUGGAGCUCCUGACCAGGAAGAUGCCCGUUGAUCCCGCGUUCGGGGACGGCGUCGACAUUGUGACCUGGAUGAGGUCCAACCUGACGUCGACGCAGGCGGACCAUGGGAGCGUCAUGAGCUGCCUGGAGGAGGAGAUCACGUACUGGCCUGAGCAUGAGCAGGCCAAGGCGCUGGACCUGUUGGACCUGGCCGUCUCGUGCACGCAGACGGCUUGCCAGUCGAGGCCGUCGAUGAGGGAGGUGGUGAACAUCUUGAUGAGGAUUGACGAGAGUAUCAUCAUUUCAGAGCUUCACAAGUGA